rnacentral:rRNA from 1 species
GAUGAACGUUGGCGGCAUGCCUAAUACAUGCAAGUCGAACGAGAGGAAGGAAAGCUUGCUUUCCUGAAUCUAGUGGCGAACGGGUGAGUAACACGUAGGUAACCUGCCCAUGUGCCCGGGAUAACUUCUGGAAACGGAUGCUAAAACCGGAUAGGUAGCAGACAAGCAUUUGACUGCUAUUAAAGUGGCCUUGGCCAUGAACAUGGAUGGACCUGCGGUGCAUUAGCUAGUUGGUGAGGUAACGGCCCACCAAGGCGACGAUGCAUAGCCGGCCUGAGAGGGCGGACGGCCACAUUGGGACUGAGACACGGCCCAAACUCCUACGGGAGGCAGCAGUAGGGAAUUUUCGUCAAUGGGGGGAACCCUGAACGAGCAAUGCCGCGUGAGUGAGGAAGGUCUUCGGAUCGUAAAGCUCUGUUGUAAGAGAAAAACGGCACUCGUAGGGAAUGAUGAGUGAGUGAUGGUAUCUUACCAGAAAGUCACGGCUAACUACGUGCCAGCAGCCGCCGUAA